rnacentral:rRNA from 1 species
GUAGGGGGGGCGAGCGUUAUCCGGAUUUACUGAGCGUAAAGCGCGUGCAGGCGGCUUGGGUAGGGUUGGGACGUGAAAGCUCUUGGCUCAACUGAGAGAGGUCGUUCAAUACCCGCCAAGCUUGAGGACGGAAGAGGGGAGCGGAAUUCCCGGUGUAGUGGUGGAAUGCGUAGAUAUCGGGAGGAACACCCGUGGCGAAGGCGGCUCCCUGGUCCGCACCUGACGCUGAGACGCGAAAGCGUGGGUAGCAAACGGGAUUAGAUACCCCGGUAGUCCACGCCGUAAACGAUGGAUGCUAGGUGUAGGUGGUAUUGACCCCAUCUGUGCCGUAGCUAACGCGUUAAGCAUCCCGCCUGGGGACUACGGCCGCAAGGUUA